AACGAACGCUGGCGGCAGGCUUAACACAUGCAAGUCGAACGGGUGUAGCAAUACGUCAGUGGCAGACGGGUGAGUAACACGUGGGAACCUUCCUAGGGGGUACGGGACAACUCAGGGAAACUUGAGCUAAUACCGUAUACGUCCGUGAGGAGAAAGAUUUAUCGCCCUUAGACGGGCCCGCGUCGGAUUAGCUAGUUGGUGGGUAACGGCCUACCAAGGCGACGAUCCGUAGCUGAUCUUAGAGGAUGAUCAGCCACACUGGGACUGAGACACGGCCCAGACUCCUACGGGAGGCAGCAGUGGGGAAUCUUGGACAAUGGGCGCAAGCCUGAUCCAGCCAUGCCGCGUGAGUGAAGAAGGUCUUCGGAUUGUAAAGCUCUUUGCCAGGGACGAUAAUGACGGUACCUGGAGAAUAAGCCCCGGCAAACUUCGUGCCAGCAGCCGCGGU
rnacentral:rRNA from 1 species